rnacentral:lncRNA from 1 species
CCACAGUAUCGACAUUUGAAAGCAUGGUUAACAGUAGAUAUAUGAAUGUGCAUGUGGCGUUCAAGUCCUUGCUUUGUUGUAAACUUCCUCUCACAAUGCUGACAAGGAAACAUGAAUGUUUCCUGAACAUCACCAUUUGAUUCACCUCUUGCUUUUGGAAUUUUCACCACAAGUUUCUUUGGAGAGCUCUCUGGAGAUUCCUCUGAUGUACUCUUUUGCUCUUCCAUAGAGUCUAACUUUUCUUCACAUAUCAAAGGCAUUUCAGCAUUUUCUUUAGGCAUAUUGGUAUCUUCCAUCUCCUCUUCUUCCUCUUCUUCAUCCUCUUCUUCAUCCUCAUCCAAAUCAUCUGAUGCACAGUUUAUUGCUUCUUCUUGUUUCUCUUCGGUCACUAUUUGCAGUUCACUGGCAGGACUGGGAAUCAUCAGCUUUGGAAGUACAUCCUGAUUUACCAUCUCCUGAAUCACAGCUGUUUGUUCCAGGGACAGUACAGCAGAAACAGAAGGCUUUUCAUCUUCUUCUUUAUGACCCUCUUUAGAAUCCCUCAUAUCUGCUGAAGAAUCCAAAUCAGUCUUUUUCUGCUUUGUAUCUGUUGCCUUCCUCCCCUUGUUUUUGCUUUCCUGAGUCUUUUUCUUUCCUUUCUUGGCUUUCGGGGAGUGCCGCCGGCUCCGGGCGCUGGCUCGCUCUUCCUCAAUAGCGGCGGCUAUCUCCGGGUCGUCCUCCCCAUUGUACCACACCAACAGCUCCUCGCCGGGCGCGAUUGGCUUUAAACUUUUGUAGUAUAUGGUCCUGUUGAUCUCCAGAGGAAACAGGUUUUGCUCCUUUCCUGAACGUGCCCAGUUUAUAUACCGCAGCCAGUUCCC